GUGCAGAGGAUUUGGGGCUCAGGGAGAAGUGAGACCAAGGAAGUCACAAACAGAAAGAAAUAGAAGACCUGAAAAAGAAGCUCACAGAAGGGGAAGAAAUAUCAGGCUGUGACGUCAGUGGGUCAGAUGGAGAUGACAAUGAAGAGGGUAAGAUUGGAGAAGAUGAAGAGAAAAGGAAAAGGGGGGAAACAUAAAGUCUCCCCAGAGAAGAUGGUUGAAACGCUGGUGACAGCGGUUGCGGAGAGAAAGGCACUUGAGACAAAGCUUGACGUGUAAGAAGAAACAAGGCUGCAGCUAAAUUCGAGAAACAGGAAAAAAGAUCUUAAAACCCAACAAGAGCAUCAGUCUUUGCCAGAAAAAUUCUCUGCCCUGGAGAAGAAGGUGAUUGGUGGUGGUGUUGAUUUGUUGGCCAAAGCCAAGGAACAAGAGAAACUUCUUGAAAAAUCUCGUAUGGAACUGGAAGAAAGGAGGAAAACAGCAGAGCAACUUUGCAGAGAACUUGAGGGAAAGUGGUGAGAAUGCUUGGAAACUGAAGGAAAAUAUACCAGUUUGCAAGAGGAACCACAGGGAAAGACCGAGAUCUUAAAGAAAGUUUGGGCCGGAUGCGGUGGCUCACGCCUGUAAUCCCAGCACUGUGGGAGGCCGAGGCAGGAGGGUCUUGAGGUCAAGAGCUCGAGACCAGCCUGGCCAACGUGGUGAAACCCCGUCUCUACCAAAAAAGAAGGCUUGGUAGAGUUACUGGUUUAUAGUGUGUUCUUUAAGAAUUCUUAUGUUACAUAUACCAAUAGUUAGGGUGUUAAAAUAGAAUCGUAUUCUCUAUUUGUGUUUAGAUUAUUGUAAAGUGGAAAUGUAAUAAGGUGAGGAGGUCACAUCACACACUUGCCCCAUGAAUGGAAUCCAUUCCAUAUGCUAUUUCAUUCACUUUCUGGAGAAAGAGGAAUUUUUUUGCAGCAAAAAUUUAAGGUGACUUUGUGGUAGGGGGUGGUGCUACUUCAUCCAUAAGGUAUUUUUAAAACCAUGAUUAUGGUUUGGGUUUUUUUUUUUUUUUUUGCUUUGCUUCUGUUUCUUUUUAGUCUGUUUUUAAUAUCUUUCCCCUUCACUCUAAUCUCAAGGAAAGUCCUCUUUCCUACAGAGCUGUGAAUUAAAGAAUGGACAGAGUUUACGUGUAAGUAAGCCAGGGUCUGCUCAAUUUCCUAAUGUACACAUUUGUUUUCUUUUCGAUUAUUCCUUGUUUUUAAAAAUACUAGGAGAGGCCUAGGCACAGUGGCUCAUGCCUGUAAUCCCAGCACUUUGGGGGGCCGAGGUGGGUGGAUCACCUGAGGUCAGGAGUUCAAGACCAGCCUGAACAGCAUGGUGAAACCACGUGUCUACUACCAUUACAAAAUUAGCCAGGCGUGGUGGCGCACGCCUGUAAUCCCAGCUACUUGGGAGACUGAGGCAGGAGAAUCGCUUGAACCCGGGAGGCAGAGGUAGUGGUGAGCCGGGAUCGUGCCAUUACACUCCAGCCUGGGCAACAAGAGCAAAACUCCGUCUCAAGAAAAACAAAAACAAAAAUCCUAGAAGAAUGGAAGAAAACAUAGAUCUUUCUUUCUUUCUUUCUUUCUUUCUUUUUCUUUCUCCUUCCUUCCUUCCUCCCUCCCUUUCUCUCUCUCUCUUUCUCUUUCUUUUCUUUCUUUCUUUCUCCUUCCUUCCUUCCUCCCUCCCUAUUUCUCUCUGUCUCUCUCUUUCUGUCUUUCUUGUUCUCACUUUGUCACCGAGGUUGGAGUGCAGUGGUGUGAUCCCCGCUCACUGCAACUUCAACCUCCUGAGGUUCAAGCGAUCCUCUUGCCUCAGACCCCAAAGUACCUGGGACUACAGGCACGCACCACCACAUCGGGCCAAUUUUUGUAUUUUUUGUAGAGAUGGGUUUUUACCAUGUUGCCCAGGCUGGGAAAACAUAGAUUUUCUAGUGCCCUUCAACUUAUGCUGUAAUCUAACUAAUUUAAAUAAUUAAUAACUUCAGCAGUAUUACUGCAAUCAAUUUCAAAAGCCAUGCUUUCAUUGUACUUCAUGUAUAAAUUGUAUUUGUUCAAGUUGUAUAUAUUGAUAUUGUAUGUAUAUAUGCAGCAUGGUUAAAUAAGAAUAACAAUUUUUUACCUAAAAAAAAAAGAAAGAAAUGGACAUAGCAAUAAUCCUGGACCAGAGGACAGCGCUGGAUCUCAGCCUAGAAGGAAGGCCCUCCUGCAGACACCCUGGCCUGUGAGGGAGCAGGGCCCAGGGUAGGGGACUCGGGAGGUCUGGCCGUGCAGAUCGAUUAUGGAAGCUGUGGACAGUGGAGAACAGUUUUGCUUUGUUAUUUUGUUUUGCUUUGGCAAAUGUAACUAGGACAAAAAUUGUCUUUCCUUCCCUA